ACAUCCUCACUCCCAACUCGUAACAUAUUGACGCUUGGUCAGGAGCCCUUUGCGUCAAUACUAUACGCACAGGGUACCCCUUUAGCGUUAUUUUUUGACGUCCUGGGUUUCCCAAUGACUUCUAUAGGAACGCCUGCGGCGUUGACAUUUGACGUGUUAAGCACGGGUAAAAUGAGAACAAAAAUAGGAAUAAAAUAAGCAUAAAAAUAAAGAAUUUGCUACAAUAAAUUAGUUAUGGCAGGGAUUGUCAUACUGUUUUUAAUGUGCUGCGAUUAUGUUUGGUUAUUCAAUGAUUAAUCAUUGCAAACGCAAUGCAAUGCAAUUAACAUUUUACAUUAUAUUUAUUUAAUUGUUUGUUUGUUUAUUUAUUUAUUGGUUGGUUGGUUGGUUGGUUGGUUUAUUGAUAGAUUUUUUUUUUAUUUUUUUUAUUAAUAAAUCCAACAAUUACUACCGCUGACGUCACUGUAAGGCGCGAUCCAUUGCGAUUUUACACUUGGUAAGUAGAACAGACAUCAAUAUAGACGGGAACAAUCCUUAAAUUUGCGUAGUAAUAAUCGUUCAAUCACGGUAAAAUUUUGUGUUUAGAACCUUUAGAAGUGUCUCACGGCAUUUCGUGAUUUGGUCACGAAAUUUAAUCUAUUUAUUCGUGGCAGGAACACGUUUAUUUCGUUAUUUUCGUAAUUCCAGCACGUUUUUUAAACUAAUGUAUUUCAAUUGGAUAGAUCUUUCGUGCAUAUAGCACGAUUUUUUCUGCCAGUCGGGCUGCAGUAGGGAAGCUAAACAUUUAUUCACAAGAUCUUAUCAAGACUGCAAUAUAUAAGAAUAAAUAGGAAUCGGCAACAAUUAACGAUCUAUGCCAGCGCAAGUCAAUAUUUAUCUGGUCAUUUUCAACUGGUUUUUAAUGUUAAAAGUCCCUCGCAGUCAACAGCUGUUUCCGGUGAGUUCUCAACUGCAGGAUCAAUAGCAUUCAGCAGUGAGUUUAACAACGCUCAAAUGUGGGUAAAAUAACAUUCAGAGAGGAGUUUUAUUAAAACAGCGUUCAACUGCAUGUAAGACAACCUUUUAGAGUCCUGUAAUAACUGUGACGUCAUCGAAUGAGACGAAGGUCCAUGGCUGUUUCAACUCGGAAGUUGAGAUGAAGUCAUGACAAGGCCCAUAUCUGGUAAGCAGGAAAACUUUCCAUGUCUGCUUUGCAAGCUUGUCCACCAAAAAAAGUCAGGUCACUGGAUAGCCAGUGGGGGAAAUCUGUCCUUAAAAGCAGAAAUGCUGGGCGUAUAAUUAAUUCUGCCUGUAUUGCAGUAAGUGAAAGUGUUCAUAUUUCAAAUGAAGUGCGCAUGUUUUUCACAUAAUAUAAGACUAGCACUAGGGAUGCACCGAUACCACUUUUUAGGAAUAUGAGUAUGAGUAUUCGCAUUUUAGUACUUGCUGAUACCGAUACCGAGUACUUAAUAAUAAUAAUUAAAAAAAACAUGAUUUAAAUUUACAGGUAACAGCUUUAGUCAUAUACUUUAACAAAAAAACAAGGGACUAGUUUUACAGUUUGUUGUAAACUCUGCCUCUUUGGACAACACAAGAGGCAUUAACCCCUUACACGCUGCUCAAACAUAGACAUUUCUCAGACCGUGGUAUCGAUCCAUGGUAUGGGGGGACUUUUAACGAGUACUUUAGAAAAUGUGGUAUUGAAGCCGAUACCAGUAUUGGUAUCGGUGCAUCCCUAACCAAUAUGGUCUGGCUUUUACAAACAUAGGCUUAUUUCAUACAUGGAAGAAUCCAUAUUUAGCUAAAUUGUGUUGAAGAGUAUCAAUAAGUUGUGUUCGCUGUCAAGUAUUAAGAAAGUUAUAAUGUCAAUGGGAGAAUGAGUCUGGAAUUAACCAUUGAUUGUAUCCACCUUAUUUUUGAUGUAAAUGUUUGUGCCGCCAUCUUUAUGGUAUCGUAUUGCAAGGGACACGAGUGUGCUGUUUUGACUGUCUUUUUAAUGUUUAUUAUGAAAUUCAGGAAGACCGGUAUAAUUUUUACAGUUAGGGGUUGCCAUAAUAGCUGAUACAAACACAGUAAAUCUCUACAAAACAUAAUAUGUUGUGUAUGUAUGUGGCACACGUGCACUCAUGAUCUUUAUCCACACAUCCAUCCAGUAAAACCUUUCAUAGUGCUAGUGAACAAUAAACACAAUAAUUGUUCAAAAACAACUUCGAAAAUAAGGUUACAGUUCAAAAGUCAUAUGUUUUAUAAAAGAAUCUUUUAUGGUUACAGCUCAUUUACUUUUUCAUUUCAGGUGCGGAAACUUGAGGCUGUCGGAUACAAGUCAAUUGUAUUUACUGGGAAACGGGAUAAAAAGGACCUGCCGGAGAGCCUCGCCGUGGAGCUGCCGGAGAGCAUCGUCAUGGAACGGCCGGAGAAUCUCAACAAGGAGUCUGAGGCUGUAUUUGCAUUAAAUCUUGUUCCUCUGUCCUCUAGACUCUCUCCAACCUCUCUUGCUCCUAUUACUUUUACAACUAUUUUCCUCCACUUUCUUUCCCACCUCCUCUGACAUGCUCACUAUCACGUCUUUGCCUUUUCAAACUAUACCAUGGCUUCAAACUAUACCAUAAAGGGUUCCCCAAAUCUAACCCUGGAGGGCCGGAGCACUGCAGAGUUUAGCUCCAACCCUGAUCAAACACACCUGAUCAAGGUCUUCAUGAUCACUAGAAAAUCACAGGUUGUCGAUAAAAUAACUGGGGAAUUGAUAAAUAAGGGGAAAGCUGAAUUGGAAGUUCACUGGUGACCGUGCUCUGUGUGGUAAGUUAUGUUUUAUUAUCUUGUUACGUUUAUUCCAUUGCAAUGCAGAUUAGUGUGGAAUGUGGAAUGCUUGAAAGACUAUUCCAGAAUUUUGUAGAUAAAUGAGAGAUUGAUCUACCUUAUAUCUAUUUAGAAUAUUCUUUUAACAUCUUGGAAUUUGUGAUUGAAGUGGAUACACUCAGGGUUCUCACGGUUCAUGGAAUUUCUGGAAUAUUAUGGAAUUUUAUAGGUCUUUUACAGACAUUGAAAGUCAGUCAUGGAAUAUCAGAGAUUUUUGUUUGUUGCUUUAAAUUUCAGUUUCCAUUCAUGAAAAUGUACUUCGCUUGUUAACUUGUGACGUAAGGAAUAACAUUUUUCAGGUCCAAGCCUCAGCUGACUACAAUUUAUUCUGAUCAUACAUUUUGUUAUUUAUUAACCUAGCAGGACAUCCACCCAAUGCAUUACAAUAGUAGGAGUGAUUAAUAGGAUCAAAAUGCAGACACUAUCCCGAACUGCCAGAUCUGGAACACAUGAAAACAUGCAGUAAUUGUUUAACUUACUCCACUUAUAUAAAAUAGCUUAGUUACCUUAACAAAUAGGAUAAUAUCCUUAACUCACUAAUGACAACUUAAUAAUUCAGUUAUCAACCACAUUUUUGGAGUCAUCACUACAUUUGGAGGUGCAUCCCAGCAAGACCCACAUAUGUUUUGUUUUGGUGCUGGUUUGCUGGUGACCACCAGCAUAGACCAGCAUGGAAAUGAUGCUUGUCUAUGCUGUUUUUUUUUUUCAGCAGUGAUGGCUUUCAAUAUAAAAGAACUGUAUGGAUAUUUUAAUUAAAAGUAACUACUACUUUAACAACAGACACCAGAAAAUGUGGAGAAAAAUCUGCCAGUUAAGUACAAGUACCUCACAUUUGUACUAUGUGUUCUUAUGACAUUAUCUGCACUUUGAUA